UGCUGAGUCAAAGCACUCAGGACAAAGACUCAACAACCAAGGCUAAGUACCUGACUAAGAAGACUCAGGCUGGGAGUGUGGAGGCUAUCAGACUGCUGGAUGAGCUUCUGAUGCAGCUAGCGGCCUCUGUACCUGUAGAUGUCAUGCC